GGCCCCGUAGCUCAGUGGAUAGAGCGGCAGACUUCGAAUCUGCGCGCGGUGGUUCGACUCCACCCGGGGCCA
rnacentral:tRNA from 1 species